UAUCCUACGGGACGCAGCAGUGAGGAAUAUUGGUCAAUGGGCGCGGGCCUGAACCAGCCAAGUAGCGUGAAGGAUGACUGCCCUACGGGUUGUAAACUUCUUUUAUAAAGGAAUAAAGUGAGGCACGUGUGCCUUUUUGUAUGUACUUUAUGAAUAAGGAUCGGCUAACUCCGUGCCAGCAGCCGCGGUAAUACGGAGGAUCCGAGCGUUAUCCGGCUUUAUUGGGUUUAAAGGGAGCGUAGUUGGGUUGUUACGUCAGUUGUGAAAGUUUGCGGCUAAACCGUAAAAUUGUAAUUGAUACUGGA
rnacentral:rRNA from 1 species